GCUGCCCAGUGCAGCAGAUGAUCUUCUCACAAUGUGACAAUGAGAAGCAGCAGGGCAGCCAAAGCAGUCUCCCCCAGCCAGCCCCAAUACACACUUUGUAUAGUGUUCAGUGCACGGCUCACAAUGCUGCAGAUCAUGGUGCUUAACUUUAAACACAGUGCUCUGCCCCUCCAGCCCCCAUGUGUCCAGACCCUCUGUAGACUCAACCUCACUGCAGCCAGCACACAGGAGAAAAAAGCAGUAAGUACUUUCAGCAAGAUUACAAGCCAAUCAUCGCUGUUGUUCAUCCAAAAAGCCCACAAUGACACAGGCCAUCAGAAACAGCUGGAAGUCAGAAUAAAUACUACAGUUUUGUUUCAAUCUUGCAUAAAAACCUGCGCAGAUGAAACUGUGGUUAAAAAAUAAAAAAAGUCCAUGUGUUCCUUA